GUAGGGAAUAUUGGUCAAUGGGUGAAAGCCUGAACCAGCCAUGCCGCGUGCAGGAAGACGGCCUUCUGGGUUGUAAACUGCUUUUGCCAGGGGAUAAAAUACCCAUGCGUGGGGAAUUGAAGGUACCUGGUGAAUAAGCCACGGCUAACUACGUGCCAGCAGCCGCGGUAAUACGUAGGUGGCAAGCGUUGUCCGGAUUUAUUGGGUUUAAAGGGUGCGUAGGCGGUUCUAUAAGUCAGUGGUGAAAUACGGCAGCUCAACUGUCGAGGUGCCAUUGAUACUGUAGGACUAGAGUACUGUUGAGGUAGGCGGAAUGGACGGUGUAGCGGUGAAAUGCUUAGAUAUCGUCCAGAACACCGAUAGCGAAGGCAGCUUACUAAAGAGUAACUGACGCUGAGGCACGAAAGUGUGGGGAUCAAACAGGAUUAGAAACCCUUGUAGUCC
rnacentral:rRNA from 1 species